AGUGAACGCUGGCGGCAGGCCUAACACAUGCAAGUCGAGCGGCAGCGCGUCCGACCACCCUCGGGUGGUCGGAUGGCGGCGAGCGGCGGACGGGUGAGGAAUGCAUCGGAAUCUGCCUCGUUGUGGGGGAUAACGUAGGGAAACUUACGCUAAUACCGCAUACGACCUACGGGUGAAAGUGGGGGACCUUCGGGCCUCACGCGAUGAGAUGAGCCGAUGCCGGAUUAGCUAGUUGGCGGGGUAAAGGCCCACCAAGGCGACGAUCCGUAGCUGGUCUGAGAGGAUGAUCAGCCACACUGGAACUGAGACACGGUCCAGACUCCUACGGGAGGCAGCAGUGGGGAAUAUUGGACAAUGGGCGCAAGCCUGAUCCAGCAAUGCCGCGUGUGUGAAGAAGG
rnacentral:rRNA from 1 species